GGACCUGAUAUCAGACAAGACUACCCGCUGAAUUUAAGCAUAUAACUAAGCGGAGGAAAAGAAACUAACAAGGAUUCCCUCAGUAACGGCGAGUGAAGCGGGAAGAGCUCAAGCUUA
rnacentral:ncRNA from 1 species